UACGAGUCACGGCAUACAGCUCAGUAACACGUGGCUAACCUGCCCUUGGGACGAGAACAACCCCGGGAAACUGGGGCUAACUCUCGAUAGGCGAAGAACUCUGGAAUGAGUCUUCACCCAAACAGUUUAAAGUUAUGCUCUUUAAAUCGCCCAAGGAUGGGGCCGCGACCGAUCAGGUUGUUGGUGAGGUAAUGGCUCACCAAGCCUUUUACCGGUGCGGGCCGUGGGAGCGGGAGCCCGGAGAUGGGCACUGAGACAAGGGCCCAGGCCCUACGGGGCGCAGCAGUCGCGAAAACUUUGCAAUAAGCGAAAGCUUGACAGGGCUAUCCCGAGUGCCAUCCGCUGAGGAAGGCUUUUACCCAGUCUAGAACGCUGGGGGAAUAAGGAGAGGGCAAGUCUGGUGUCAGCCGCCGCGGUAAUACCAGCUCUCCGAGUGGUGUGGAUGUUUAUUGGGCCUAAAGCAUCCGUAGCUGGCUAGGUUAGUCCCCUGUUAAAUCCACCGAAUUAAUCGUUGGAUUGCGGGGGAUACUGCUUGGCUAGGGGACGAGAGAGGCAGACGGUAUUUUCGGGGUAGGGGUGAAAUCCUAUAAUCCCGGGAAGACCACCAGUGGCGAAGGCUGUCUGCUAGAACGCGCCCGACGGUGAGGGAUGAAAGCUGGGGGAGCGAACCGGAUUAGAUACCCGGGUAGUCCCAGCUGUAAACGAUGCAGACUAGGUGUUUGAACGGCCACGUGCCGUUCUAGUGCCGCAGGGAAGCUGUUAAGUCUGCCGCCUGGGGAGUACGAUCGCAAGAUUGAAACUUAAAGGAAUUGGCGGGGGAGCACCACAAGGGGUGAAGCUUGCGGUUUAAUUGGAGUCAACGCCGGA
rnacentral:rRNA from 1 species